rfam:Triticum aestivum genome assembly, contig: Triticum_aestivum_CS42_TGACv1_scaffold_030460_1BL
CUGCUACUCCCUCCGUCCGGAAAUACUUGUCGUCGAAUUGAAUGAACCUAGAUGUAUUUUAAUUCUAGAUACAUCCAUUUCCAUUCAUUUAUGCGAAAAGUAAUUCCGGACGGAGGGAGUACUAU